UUUUGGACAAUGGGGGCAACCCUGAUCCAGCAAUGCCGCGUGAGUGAAGAAGGCCUUCGGGUUGUAAAGCUCUUUUGUCAGGGAAGAAACAGCAGCUCUAACACAGUCUGCGAAUGACGGUACCUGAAGAAUAAGCACCGGCUAACUACGUGCCAGCAGCCGCGGUAAUACGUAGGGUGCGAGCGUUAAUCGGAAUUACUGGGCAUAAAGCGUGCGCAGGCGGUUAUACAAGACAGGCGUGAAAUCCCCGGGCUUAACCUGGGAAUGGCGCCUGUGACUGUAUAGCUAGAGUGUGUCAGAGGGGGGUAGAAUUCCACGUGUAGCAGUGAAAUGCGUAGAUAUGUGGAGGAAUACCAAUGGCGAAGGCAGCCCCCUGGGAUAACACUGACGCUCAUGCACGAA
rnacentral:rRNA from 1 species